rnacentral:rRNA from 1 species
CCUACGGGAGGCAGCAGUGAGGAAUAUUGGUCAAUGGACGAGAGUCUGAACCAGCCAAGUAGCGUGAAGGAUGACUGCCCUAUGGGUUGUAAACUUCUUUUAUAUGGGAAUAAAAUGUUCCACGUGUGGGAUUUUGUAUGUACCAUAUGAAUAAGGAUCGGCUAACUCCGUGCCAGCAGCCGCGGUAAUACGGAGGAUCCGAGCGUUAUCCGGAUUUAUUGGGUUUAAAGGGAGCGUAGGGGGGUUGGUAAGUCAGUUGUGAAAGUUUGCGGCUCAAACGUAAAAUUGCAGUUGAAACUGGCGGUCUUGAGUACAGGAGAGGUGGGCGGAAUGCGUGGUGUAGCGGUGAAAUGCUUAGAUAUCACGAAGAACUCCGAUUGCGAAGGCAGCUCACUGGACUGCAACUGACACUGAGGCUCGAAAGUGUGGGUAUCAAACAGGAUUAGAUACCCUAGUAGUC